rnacentral:tRNA from 1 species
GCGCCCGUGGCCUAGUGGAUAGGGCAUCUGACUCCGACUCAGAAGAUCGCACGUUCAAAUCGUGUCGGGCGCGCCA